CUAGCGUUGUUCGGAAUUACUGGGCGUAAAGCGCACGUAGGCGGCUUUGUAAGUUAGAGGUGAAAGCCCGGGGCUCAACCCCGGAAUUGCCUUUAAGACUGCAUCGCUAGAAUUGUGGAGAGGUAAGUGGAAUUCCGAGUGUAGAGGUGAAAUUCGUAGAUAUUCGGAAGAACACCAGUGGCGAAGGCGACUUACUGGACACAUAUUGACGCUGAGGUGCGAAAGCGUGGGGAGCAGACAGG
rnacentral:rRNA from 1 species